rnacentral:RNase_P_RNA from 1 species
UCCGAUCUGCGAUGUGCUGCUUGCAGUACGCGUGAGGAAAGUCCGGGCUCCAGAGGGCGGGAUGCCGGCUAACGGCCGGGCGGAGUGAUCCGACGGAAAGCGCCGCAGAAAAGAAGACUCCCACCUGCGCCGUAAGGCGUAAAGGGAAAAGCUGAAACGGUGGUGUAAGAGACCACCAGCGUCGUGGCAACACGGCGGCUUGGCAAACCCCAUCCGGAGCAAGCGCGAAUAGGAACGCUAUGGGC